rnacentral:tRNA from 1 species
GCCUCAGUGGCUUAGUGGAAUAGCGGUUGAUUUGUAAUCAGCAGGUCGAAGGUUCGACUCCUUCCUGAGGCU